UCAGCCGGUACUCCGAAUGCACCUAGAGGUGUAAGUUUGAUCAUGGCUCAGAGUCAACGCUGUAGGUAGGCCUAACACAUGCAAGUCGAACGGCAGCACAGGAGAGCUUGCUCUCUGGGUGGCGAGUGGCGGACGGGUGAGGAAUACAUCGGAAUCUACUCUGUCGUGGGGGAUAACGUAGGGAAACUUACGCUAAUACCGCAUACGACCUACGGGUGAAAGCAGGGGAUCUUCGGACCUUGCGCGAUUGAAUGAGCCGAUGUCGGAUUAGCUAGUUGGCGGGGUAAAGGCCCACCAAGGCGACGAUCCGUAGCUGGUCUGAGAGGAUGAUCAGCCACACUGGAACUGAGACACGGUCCAGACUCCUACGGGAGGCAGCAGUGGGGAAUAUUGGACAAUGGGCGCAAGCCUGAUCCAGCCAUACCGCGUGGGUGAAGAAGGCCUUCGGGUUGUAAAGCCCUUUUGUUGGGAAAGAAAUCCAGCCGGCUAAUACCUGGUUGGGAUGACGGUACCCAAAGAAUAAGCACCGGCUAACUUCGUGCCAGCAGCCGCGGUAAUACGAAGGGUGCAAGCGUUACUCGGACAUUACUGGGACGUAACAGCGUGCAGUAGGAUGGUUAUUUAAGUCCGUUGUGAAGCCCUGGGCUCCACCUGGGGGAACUGCCGUGGCAUUCUGGUUGACUUAGGAAUGUGGGUCGAGGGUUAGCCGGGCAAUUCCUGGUUGUUACCGUGAACAUGCGUGAGCUCNCGGGGCAGGGACCUCCUGUGCGAAAGGCGUUUACCUNGACCACCUUUUNCACCUUGAGGCGNANGCUNUNGGCANGCANACCGAUUNGUNUCCCUUUUC
rnacentral:rRNA from 1 species